rnacentral:lncRNA from 1 species
AAGGACCUUGGAGAAAAAAUUUCAGAAUUUUUAAAGACUUAAAAGUAUUUUUAAACAAUUAAAAAUAAUCACAAAAUCAAUUAAGUCAUGAAAAAUACUAAUAAUGAUCCAAAAAAUAAUGUUAAUUCAAAAUAUGAAAGAGGAAAUUAUUUGAAAUUAUUUGGUGAAACUCUCAUAUUUUUUGGAUCAAUAUUAAAAUUAAUAUGAAUUAAUGAAAAUAAAAGGAUUAAAAUGAAAAU